AGUGAACGCUGGCGGUAGGCCUAACACAUGCAAGUCGAACGGCAGCACAGUAAGAGCUUGCUCUUACGGGUGGCGAGUGGCGGACGGGUGAGGAAUACAUCGGAAUCUACUUUUUCGUGGGGGAUAACGUAGGGAAACUUACGCUAAUACCGCAUACGACCUACGGGUGAAAGCAGGGGAUCUUCGGACCUUGCGCGAUUGAAUGAGCCGAUGUCGGAUUAGCUAGUUGGCGGGGUAAAGGCCCACCAAGGCGACGAUCCGUAGCUGGUCUGAGAGGAUGAUAGGCCACACUGGAACUGAGACACGGUCCAGACUCCUACGGAAGGCAGCAGUGGGGAAUAUUGGACAAUGGGCGCAAGCCUGAUCCAGCCAUACCGCGUGGGUGAAGAAGGCCUUCGGGUUGUAAAGCCCUUUUGUUGGGAAAGAAAAGCAGCAGGUUAAUACCCCGCUGUUCUGACGGUACCCAAAGAAUAAGCACCGGCUAACUUCGUG
rnacentral:rRNA from 1 species